rnacentral:lncRNA from 1 species
GUACCUCGAAUUUGGUUAACUCCGCUCGAAACCUCAACCACCACAUGAAGUGCUCGAACUAGAAUCUACAUUAAAAGGGCACAAUAGGGAUAAGUACAGUCCAUUUGUACUCAGUAGGUAUCGUAUACCGACUGAGCAAAGUAAAAAAUAAGGUAAGUAAACAACACUAUAAGAACGUUACCUGCAAGCAGAAAAGUUCUAAAUGAUAGCUUAUGCCGUUUUCACUAACAGUUCUAAGAUAUAUACUUGCACAAAAAUAGUAACAACACAGAUAUACAUGUAAAAUAUAGUAAACUAAGCACAAUACAAGGAAGCUAAAGAAAUAACAAAAGGCACAAGUUCAAAUGCAGUGCAAUGCAAUGAAAUAUAGAUGGAGUGAAUGGUAAAAGCCAUCACAUGACUCUCUAUAUACACCCAGUGAGCACAACUUCUAAGUAGGACCCAUGAGGGGUUCACAACCCAUAUACUAGUAACUAAUAUCUCAAAUAUCAACCGACCUCUCCGGUUUGUGUUCACAGAGAGGGCUUUUAUAAAAGUGUCUCAUUUUCUUUUUAAAAUAGUGUUCCACAAUUGUACCAAUAUCUCAUGAAUGUAUAUGUAUGGAAUGAGGAUGUAAUGCUCACAAUCAACUCAACAUGAAGAUAUCCAAUGCAUCCAAUAUGUAUAUAUGUAACCCCAGAAAUCAACUCAAUAUGUCCAUAACUCAUGAUUAUCAACUCUAAUUAGGCACCAUCGAAAUAAAUACACAUGUAAGACAUUAUUUAUAUCAUAUCAACCCCAAGUCAAAUAUUUUUAUCAUUAUAAGGGCAACCAAUGCUCAAAAAUCCAAAAUAACACUUCAAGCCCCCUCAUGGAUAUUUUAUAUAUCUAGAAUAAAGGAAUUUAAAUGCACAGAUAAUGAAAUUGAUGUCAAAUAAAGCUUCCACAUGGGCAAUACACAAUAUCAUGUAUCACAAGUCAACAACAAUAAAAUAUAAGCUCCCACACGAGCACACAACUGUAAUAGUAAUUCUCAAAAUAUAAACCCUAUAUAUGUAGAAACUGAAGGUAAACGGUCUCAUAUAUUAAUAAAGUCUUUAACUUGGAAGUAUUUAUCAACUCUCUAAAUGAAAACAUAAACAAUCUGACAAGCCUCUACUCAUGACUAGGGUGACACUGGGACAGACCCUAGCUUACCAGAAUAAAACUAGAAAUCAAAUAACUAAAAUGCUUUCAUCAAUGAAUAAACGUCUGAUAAACUAGAUCCUCGGACUAUGAGGACUCACCAAAAGUCAGGAUGUAGGUGAUGAUGCUCGUAGUCAAUCGUACUAUUAAAAACGAGCACCAGAACCUACAUUAUAAGAUAAUAUAGCACAUAGACAUAUAUGUGGGUUAGUACCUCUUGAAUGUAUUGAGUAUGUGGGGGUGAAUGCAUAAGUAAAAUGAUAACUGGCUAUUUAUAUAAACUUUCAAAUGAUUCAUGCUAAGCGUAAAUGACUCACCUUGAGGUUGAAUAAAAUAAAGACCACAAAAUCAUGAUCAUGCAUAAUAAAGCAUAAUAUUGAAAUUUGUGAGCCAUAAUACUUAGUUUCUAAAAGCUUUACUUUUAUUCUUCCUUAUGGAAGAUUCUUCUAACUGACAUAAACCAUGUGAGCUACCAUGGAGUCCAACGUCUUACCCACAUUGGGGAGAGCUGUUCUACCCUUACCAUCGAAAUAUAACCUUAACUUAAGUGAUCACUAUACUUUAUCUAUACUGGAAAAAAGCUUGACCUAUGUUGGCUCAUAGUUUUUAGGAAUUUAGGAUACGUACAUCUGCAUUCCUUUCUCGGUGCUAAAUACUACUCCCAACAUACUUAUAUGCUCAUACUUUAAGAAAUCUACCUUAAAAUAGCAUAAGGGUUUAUAAACUGAAAACCAAUUAUGGUUCUCUUUUCUUAAAUCACAAUCAGGAUGAAUAAUUAUGGAUUUUAUAUCUUGUCUUAGGAUCAAAAGAUCAAUCUUUGAUUUAAAUCAUGUCAUAAAACUGAUCAAUGGAGCUUAAGAGCAUAAUCUUCUUGUUAACUCAAUACUUGAACUUAGAGCUUAGAAUUUAUACUUUAAUUCAUAGAAAUUCAUGACAAAACAUCAUGUUAAAUAAUUAUCUUGAAUUCUUUCGACAAUAUCUCAGUCAAGAUAAUCAAAUUCAAAUCACAAUAUGAAUCUUAUAAAUCAAAACAUGAAUAUAAGUAAAUCUUGAUGCACUUAAAGUUUUCAAUCACAUGGUAGUAUCAUACUAUAGAAUAUGGUUAUUUGGGUAUGAACCCUAAUUCAAAAUAAGUAAAUUCAAUCAUAAAAUUAUGAUAUUUAGGCACAAGGAUGGAAGAUUAUCCUUGUUCAUAAACCCCCACAUACCUAAAGUUUCUUGACUUGUGAAGAAAUUUUAAAUCUUGAGACUUGAAGGAUGAACUUGUGAGAGAAUCCCUAAUUUUGAUGUCCUCGAAGAUGAGAGGAUGUAAGCUUGUUAUUUGAUUGAGGAAUAGAGGAAAAUAAUGCCUCUUUGAGGGUUAUAGGUCUUGGUUGGAAGUUAUAAGAGAGGAAAAGACCAAAAAGUCCUUAGCUGAAUUUUACAGAAACUGCUCAUCGAUCUUUAUGAGUCUACCAUAUGACUCGUAUGGAAGGGUACGAAUUAACUCAUCAACUCAUAAGCUUAGCAGACUCAAGGAGGGUAUACACUAGUCAAUAUACGAGUUCCACUUAUGACUAGUAUCAUCUUCAUACGAAUCUUACCCCCUACUCAUAGCUUGGAUAGAAUCUUAGGAAGGCUACACUGAUGAACCUACGACUUACUUCAUAUGAAUCGUAUGAUGAUCUUGUGACUCCUAAGGAUUUCAUCAUACCUUCAAUAGAAUGUCCACUAUGCUACACUGUCUUGGAUAUGAUUCACCAUACAUGACUUGUAUGGAGUAUGUACAACUCAAGGGAGAAGACGUAUAAUGCACUGAAACUCCUAGACACAGGGGUAUUACAAUAGAAAAAUAACGAGGCAUAGCAAGGGGCUCACAUGCAACAUCAAAGUCAGAAAAAAAAUAUGUAUACAUAUAGAAGAUUAUAGAAGAGGGGUUAAAUAACAUGAAAGCUGAUCUAUAGAAAACUAGAAUGAUACCUAUAAUAACUGCAUCAAAAACUUCUGCCUUGGGUCUCCCAAAUAUAGCAUAACACUGACCACAUGUGCUCCUAGACUGAGUGUCUCUAUGAUCACCUCCAUAAGCUCCCCUACCUAUAUCUCUAGCACAUCUAGUACCACUAGCACAACCCCUACCACUCUAUGAACCACCUCUCACUGUAGAAAUUAGAGUAGGACAAACCUGAAGUUGAGAACCCCACUAAGUGGAUCAAUACAAACGUUAAGAGAAAUCCCUAAAAACAUGGAGAAACUCAUCACAUACAAAACAUACCAAAUCCCUAGACACAUGGACAAACUCAUCACAUAUAAAACAUACCUUACAGCCCGACUCAAUUUGAGAAGGUACAAAUAAACUAGAACGACCAUCCUGGCCUAAAGAACCAAUUCUAGAGCUUUCAAUAACAUGACCUAAUAUCUGGCUACCAGAAGCUGCAAAACCUGAGGACCUACCACAUAAACCCUACAACAUAGUAUGCAUGAGACUACCAUGAUAACCACUGGAACCUCUAAUAAAUAAAUCUCUACCUCUAAAGGAGUGUCAACUAAACUCACCCUCAAUCAUUUUAGCAUGCUCAAUAAUACUCUAGAAACAAGCCCCUGAAACUACCAUAGGGGUUGUAGUCAACUGAUAUGUACCAUCUAACUCCUUCAUAAAUUUUUGAAUCCUCUCAGAUUCAAUGGAGAUGCUAGCAGAUGGAUAUCUAGAUAAGGUGUGAAAAUGUUCCUCAUAAUCGAUAAUAGACAUAGAGCUCUAAUCCAAAUAAUCAAACUUAUCCCCAAUCUAAUUUCUCAAUCUAUAUGACACAAACCUGUCCAAGAAGGACUCUAAAAAUUGAGUCCAAGUUACAGAAGGCAAACCUAAAGGCCUAAAACAAGCAAACAACCUCCACCAAUCCCUAGUCAUAUCCGUCAAUAGAUAGGUAGUGUAAACAACUCCAUGAGACUCAAAGGAUCUAAUAUUAUGUAAUUUUUUUGUCAAUUAAUCAAAAACUUAUAGGAAUUCUCGCCAAUAGCUCUACUAAACUUAGGCAAACCCACGUGAAUAAACCUCUCAAAAUUUUUUUGAUCAUCAAAAAACAUAAUUAUACCAAAGCAACUAGAGAAAUAGUGAGUCUGGUAGGCAAAAAGUCCAUAUGUGAGGGAACUAUAGAUGAUGGUUGUACCUUAGAAGUAGGAAUGCCAUAAGUAGAUGCCAGUACUAAUGGUGGAACAUUACUAGAAGUAUGAGAAAUACUAGGUACACUCAAGGGAACGUAUUCUAAAUGAGUCAAGGGAACAGAUUCCAAACGGCUCAAGAGAUGAACCAAAAGACUCUAAAGCACCAGGGUGUCGACUGAACCCUAUUGAACUUGAGUUGUCCCCGCAUCUCCUGUCUGAUAAUCAUCUCAAGCAUACUUAAACUUAGGCUCAAGAGAGGUCUCCCUAGUACAUCCUCUGACUGGGGCAGCUCCUCAUGCCUGAACCCUAUGGGCCUUUCACAACCCCUAUUUCGCCAUCUAGUCUGGUCUUCAUCUUUAGGUAUACUGGCUCAACAUCCCUAGCCUCUCAAGAUAUAGUCCUCACCACCUAUGUUGAAAAAAAUGGAAUACAACUUAGAAUAUUUGAUAAGAAUAACUUAUAUGAUUAGUGUUUUAUCCUUUUCGGAUUUUAUUUGGCGAGAAAAUAGUUUUGACCUCUUAAAACUAUUUCAAAAAAUUCAAAAAAAGUUCAAAAUAAUUUUAAGAAACUCACAGAAUCACCACUUGAUUUUUAUAGAAAAAAUCAAGAGAAAACUUAAAAUAGAUUCAAAGGUUAAAAAAUAGGAAUAAACCUUUAAAAAUAGAGAAACUGGGUAAGGGUUCAAUUAACGCCCUAAGAAGGUUUUUAAGGUACUUAGGUUUGUCUAUUUAAAAUGGUUUACCAAAAAGAACUAACUUGACUAACUAAAAAUGACUAAUUUUUGUAAAGACUUGAUUUUAGAGAAAAUAUUAAAAUUAUUUAUUUAAACAUUUAAAAAUAAUAUUUAUUUAUUUAGAGGAGAAAAUAAUUUAUUUGAAUUGAACUAAAUUAUAAUUUUUCGAACUUUAGGAGGAAAUGAAUUUUGCCUUUGUUGGAGAAGAAGAUUAUGAAAUUAUUUUCUUAUUAUUAAUUAUUAUAAAAAAAAGUUGAUUAUGUUAUAAAUAAUAGUUUGGAAAAAAUAUUAAGAGAGUAUUAAAUUAAAAAUAUCUUAUUAAUUAUGGAAAGUUAAAACUUAUAAGAAAAUUUAGUUUGUUGAGUUUGAAGAAAGUUAUUUUAAUCCAAAUAGACUAUUAAUUGCAUGAACAUAACAAAAUGUCAUUUUGAAAUAAAAUACUUAAUCUUUAAAAGACUUGAUUUAAGGGAAAAAUUGAAAGAACCAUUUUAAUCCGUUUUUAGACGAGACAAAUUAGAUGAAAAAAAGGAAUUAUGACUUAAAUAAAGAAAAUUAAGAUAAAAAAAAAUGACAAUACUUUAAAAAUUUUAUCUAGAUUAAUUUAUUAGAGCGUUAGUACACAUAAACAAAGAUGAAUUAUAAGCUACAAAAAAUAAUAUAAGAAUUGAAAUUGGGCCCUCAAUUGGCCCAUUAAUAAAGCUGCCCAGUUUUGAGCUUUGAAUUACGGACUUCAGUUCAUUUUUCUGAAGUGUAUACCAGCUGCAUAUCAUCCCCUUUUCUUCCUGCGUUUUUGUAUAUCUGGUGUAUACAUGACCAUAUAUUGGUCCUAUAUACACGUAUUUUAGUCCUCCACUUGUAUAAUAAGCUUCUUUUUUCUCAUAUUCACCAUAUAUCUAUUGUAUAUCUGCUGUAUACACACAUAUACAACCUUGUUUCUUGUCUCUCAGUCCAUUUUUGGGACUUUGAUUGAGGCUCGGACACGACGGAGUUCAAAUGCGAGAGUAAUGAGAAUCCAAAUGGACCCAUUUAAGACAGUUCAUGCACAAAUUGAGAAAUUGAAAAGAAUUAGUACUGAAUCUUUAAAGAGGCAAAGAGAUAAAUUAAAUUCAUGUAAAUAUUUUACAAAUGGUUGAGUCAAAUAAACAGGACAUCAUACGUGUAUUUAUGCUAACAUGAUGCAAGCAGUUAAGCCAACUUGAUAAUUUCACCAUGUGAACAGAAAGAAACCAGAUUAAAUGGUUGCAACAAAAAUUGAUUCAAGCCACAGGAAAGAUCUACAUUAAUUACAAUUAUGAUAAAAAUAAGUUAGGACAGUGGCCUGUAACAUGCUUAGAACCUAAAUUUAUGAAAGAGAAAAAAAAAAAAUGAAGGCGGCAACUAUAUAAGAAACAAGAAAGUACGAAUAGUGGGGUCAAAAGACACAAGCAGCAACAAUUAAGUUUUGGACAACAAAAUUCAUAGGAAACAAGAAACUAUGAACAUAGAAUUAAGAAACACAACAAGCAACAACUAAGUUUUGGACAAUAAAAUGCAUAGGAAACAAGAAACUAUGAAUAUAGGAUUAAGAAACACAACAAGCAGCAACUAAGUUUUAGACAGCCACAUACAUAAGAAACAAGAAGAUACGAACACGGGGUUAAAACGAGCGUUGAGGAUUGAUAACAUCUUCGACUAAUAAAGUUAGUAGUUAUAUUUUUCUAGUGUUACUAGCUUUCUGCAAUAUUUUGCAAGCUAAUUUCUAACCGAAUAAAAAAAGAAGGCAGAUUCAAACAUACAGCUAAAACAAAAAUUCAAACAGAGGACAAAAAGGAUUCAAGUGGCUACUACUAAUUUCAGAUUCUUGAAUUGAAAUGAAAGACGAGGAUAAUUACUAACCUUUUUCGGGGCAGCGAAUCCGGGAAGAUGAAUGGACGACGAGCUUUCAACACCGGAGUUUAAAUUUCGAAUCUUUGGAUUUUAAUUUUCUUCGGAAUUGAGUUUUUGAGUAUGUUUCUUCGAGGAUUUUUGGUUACAUAGGAUUGGAAGCAAGCGCCACCCAAAUCUCAAUUUUUCCCCAAAAAUUCUCCCCCCUUUCACUCUACAUAUAUGGGUAUUUAUAGUGAAUUUUGGGGGGAAAUCGGAAGGAUAAACAAGGAAAAACUAGUUGAGAUUUGAAUUUCAAAAUUGAGAUAAGGUUUGACCUGGAAUUUGUGCAGAAUCUGAACUUUGUUGCUAAGCUGUUGAAAUUGUAGUCGUUGGUGUUUUGGAGUUGUUUGGUACGCUGCUUCACUGUUGUUGCUGUCGGGUUAUUAAUGUUGUUGUCACAUUUUAUUGUUGAAGUUGUUGCGUGGUUGUUCUGUUGUUGAUGUUGAAAUUGUACAGCGUUGUCGCUGCUGCCUGUGUUGUUGGAUAAGAGGGACUAGGUGUAUAAAGGUGUGGGCCGGGUCACAGGUGAGUGAAUUAGGCCGCUGGUUUGUUGCGUUUUUUAUUGUUUUUGUGGGCUGAUUUGGGU